rnacentral:lncRNA from 1 species
AUGGAUUCUACCCCGAGGACCUCGCCGCGCUCGGGUUCCGCGACGCCAGCCGCGUGACGGAGGCGGACACGCGCUUCCGGGGCUGGCUGGUCCGGAGGGUCUGCGGAUUCCUGGCAGCCUGGGAGUGGAAAAUUCCAGCAGAGAGCCCCGAGGAGCUCCUGGUGCGGAUCUGCAGCAGCAGGAGGGUGCAGGAUGCUGCCUCCGGCCGGGAGCCUGGCCCCGGAGGGGAUGAGGGAUCCCAGCGGCGCUGGAAGGAGUCGAUCUGCCAGAUCCUGGGGGAAAUCCAGGCCCCGCUCUCCCCUCUGCUGCUGAGGUGGCGAAUCUUCCCGGGAGAUACUCUGGGGGAUGGAUAC